rnacentral:rRNA from 1 species
UCAUGGCUCAGAUUGAACGCUGGCGGGAUGUUUACACAUGCAAGUCGAACGGCAGCACGGACUUCCGGUCUGCGGCGAGUGGCGAACGGGUGAGUAAUGUAUCGGAACGUGCCUAGUAGCGGGGAUAACUACGCGAAGGCGUAGCUAAUACCGCAUACGCCCUCAACGGGAAAGCGGGGACCUUCGGGCCUCGCACCGGCCAGAGCGGCCGAUAUCGGAUUAGCUAGUUGGUGGGGUAACGCUCACCGGCGACGAUCCGUAGCUGGGCUCGAGAGGACGACCAGCCACACUGGGACUGAGACACGGCCCAGACUCCUACGGGAGGCAGCAGUGGGGAAUUUUGGACAAUGGGGGAAACCCUGAUCCAGCCAUCCCGCGUGUGCGAUGAAGGCCUUCGGGUUGUAAAGCACUUUUGGCAGGAAAGAAACGGCAUGGGAUAAUACCCCGUGCAACUGACGGUACCUGCAGAAUAAGCACCGGCUAAUACGUGCCAGCAGCUGCGGUAAUACGUAGGGUGCAAGCGUUAAUCGGAAUUACUGGGCGUAAAGCGUGCGCAGGCGGUUCGGAAAGAAAGAUGUGAAAUCCCAGAGCUUUCUAACUUUGAACCGCAUUUUUAACUACCGAGCUAGAGUGUAUGAGGGAGGUGGAAUUCCGCGUGUAGCAGUGAAAUGCGUAGAUAUGCGGAGGAACACCGAUGGCAAGGCAGCUUCCCGGGAUAACACUGACGCUCAUGCACGAAAGCGUGGGGAGCAAAUGAGACUAGAUACCCUGGUAGUCCACGCCCUAAACGAUGUCAACUAUUGCUGGGGCCCGCCUUGGUAGCGCAGCUAACGCGUGAAGUUGACCGCCUGGGGAGUACGGUCGCAAGAUUAAAACUCAAAGGAAUUGACGGGGACCCGCACAAGCGGUGGAUGAUGUAGAUUAAUUCGAUGCAACGCGAAAAACCUUACCUACCUUUGACAUGUCUGGAAUCCCGAAGAGAUUUGGGAGUGCCUGCAAGAGAACCGGAACACAGGUGCUGCAUGGCUGUCGUCAGCUCGUGUCGUGAGAUGUUGGGUUAAGUCCCGCAACGAGCGCAACCCUUGUCAUUAGUUGCUACGAAAGGGCACUUCCAUCGAGACUGCCGGUGACAAACCGGAGGAAGGUGGGGAUGACGUCAAGUCCUCAUGGCUCCCGAGGGUAGGGCUUCACACGUCAUACAAUGGUCGGGACAGAGGUCGCCAACCCGCGAGGGGGAGCCAAUCCCAGAACCCGAUCGUAGUCCGGAUCGCAGUCUGCACCUCGACUGCGUGAAGUCGUAGUCUGCUAGUAAUCGCGGAUCAGUAACGCACGCGUGAAUACGUUCCCGGGUCUUGUACACACCGCCCGUCACACCAUGGGAGUGGGUUUUACCAGAAGUAGUUAGCCCAACCGUAAGGAGGGCGAUUAUGGUGAGAUCUAUGACUGGGUGAAGUCGUAACAAGGUAA